AUGCCGCGUGAGUGAAGAAGGUCUUAGGAUCGUAAAGCUCUUUCGCCAGGGAUGAUAAUGACAGUACCUGGUAAAGAAACCCCGGCUAACUCCGUGCCAGCAGCCGCGGUAAUACGGAGGGGGUUAGCGUUGUUCGGAAUUACUGGGCGUAAAGCGCGCGUAGGCGGAUCAGAAAGUUGGGGGUGAAAUCCCAGGGCUCAACCCUGGAACUGCCUCCAAAACUCCUGGUCUUGAGUUCGAGAGAGGUGAGUGGAACUCCGAGUGUAGAGGUGAAAUUCGUAGAUAUUCGGAAGAACACCAGUGGCGAAGGCGGCUCACUGGCUCGAUACUGACGCUGAGGUGCGAAAGUGUGGGGAGCAAACAGGAUUAGAUACCCUGGUAGUCCACACCGUAAACGAUGAAUGCCAGUCGUCGGGUAGCAUGCUAUUCGGUGACACACCUAACGGAUUAAGCAUUCCGCCUGGGGAGUACGGUCGCAAGAUUAAAACUCAAG
rnacentral:rRNA from 1 species